rnacentral:rRNA from 1 species
GAGUUUGAUCCUGGCUCAGGAUAAACGCUGGCGGCGUGCAUGAGACAUGCAAGUCGAACGGACACAUGGGGCUUGCUCCGUGUGUUAGUGGCGGACGGCUGAGUAACGCGUAGGUGACCUGCCCCGAAGUGGGGGAUAACUGCCCGAAAGGGUGGCUAAUACCGCAUGUGGUGGUUCGUUCGUUCGAACCAUCAAAGCAGCAAUGCGCUUCGGGAGGGGCCUGCGUCCGAUUAGCUCGUUGGUGGGGUAACGGCUCACCAAGGCGACGAUCGGUAGGUGGUCUGAGAGGACGAUCACCCAGACUGGGACUGAGACACGGCCCAGACUCCUACGGGAGGCAGCAGUCGGGAAUUUUGCGCAAUGGACGAAAGUCUGACGCAGCAACGCCGCGUGAGGGAUGAAGGCCUUCGGGUUGUAAACCGUCUUUUCUCUAGGACGAUAAUGACGGUACCUGAGGAAUAAGCCACGGCUAACUACGUAGCCAGCAGCCGCGGU